rnacentral:rRNA from 1 species
UACAGAGGUGGCAAGCGUUGUUCGGAAUUACUGGGCGUAAAGGGCGCGUAGGCGGCCAUCUAAGUCAGACGUGAAAUCCCCCGGCUUAACCUGGGAACUGCGUCCGAUACUGGAAGGCUUGAGUAUGGGAGAGGGAUGUAGAAUUCCAGGUGUAGCGGUGAAAUGCGUAGAUAUCUGGAGGAAUACCGGUGGCGAAGGCGGCUCACUGGUCCGGUACUGACGCUGAGGUGCGAAAGCGUGGGGAGCAAACAGG